AUGUUUGAUGCUAAGACCACCCAGCCCAGCUCCAUGGAUCGUCCUGAAGGAGAAGAUGUAAAUCUGCCUUGUAGCCACUCUACCAUUGGUGGAAAUGAGUCUAUACAUUGGUAUCAGCAAAAUCCCAAUCAGAGUCCACAGUAUGUCAUUCAUGGCUUACGAGGCACAGUGAACAGCAGCAUGGCCUCUCUGACCACAGCUUCAGACAGAAAGUGCAGCACCUUGGUCCUGCCCCAGGUCUCCCUGAGAGACACCGCUGUGUACUACUGGGUCCCGAGAGAGGCACACUGGGACAGACGGGGCUGCACCUGUGCAGUGUUUCUCUGGUGGGAAGAAGGGGGGACACAGCGGGGGAGCAGUCACGAGAGCAAAUCUAGAGUCAUCUGGAAGGAGACUCAGAGAGCAGUAAGAGAUGAGGAAAAUGAAGGGAAGGAGAAGGGGAGAAGAUGCAUAAAGAAAAGGACAAGGAAGAAGUGUGUCAUUGGUUGAUGUGGCUGAGAAGAAUUUGGGGAAUUAUGGGAAUACCUAGAAUCCCAAUUGCAACAUAGAAAUAAAGUGAGAAGCAUUAGCAAUUUUUCAUGGUUCUUUCUCAUGUCAAUAAAAUGUUGGUUCCAGUGUGUUAGUCUCAACCUAAAAGUGAGAAAAAUACAAAUAAUUCUCCUG